ACACAACCUCGGAAUCUGGUUUACAUGGGCAUUCAUAGGAAAAUCUCUCCAUUUACCCCUUAGGUUUUACCUUCCCUUCUCAUCAUCUUUUACACUCGGUCCAAUCGGAUUUGUGUUUAUUUAAAAUCCAACCCCCUCUGUUAGACUCAGUUCCUGCUGUCAGCCAUCCACCAGGCCUGAUGAAUCCAGAGUUCUGUUUCCAGCUUUGGUCUGGUUGGGGUGAUUCACAAAGAAGCCCCAGGGGAGGAGGAGGAUGCACUCAGCAGGGUCUAUUAGUGUCUGUGAAGAGAGCUGGGAAGAAAUGCUGCUGCCUGAGGUGGGGGAGUGGAGCCGGGCCUCCCUGAUGACUCCUGCCCCAGACUUUCCCCUCUAGAACUCACAGCCUUGUGGAGGAAACAUGCAAGUCAGCGGACAGUAGAAAAAGAGUGAUAAGUACAAUGGCAGACCAAGAAUGGGGAGUUCAGGAGCCCAAAGGACCAAGUGAUAAGCCCUGCCUAAAGAAACCCAGGAAAGAAGACCUUUAAUCAACCAAUGGCCACUGCAUUCCGGGUCAUGUGAAGCAUGGAGGUACAGAGGAAUAACAGCCAAUAUUUUGUGGUUGUUCCCUUAUGUACUCUUGAGAAAUGUCGCUGAAGCUGUGCUUCCACUGUGUCCUUUCUUGCUCAAGCCAAUGAGGUUUUUUUCCAAACCUCAUCUAACUGGAGUCACUACAUAAGAGCCCCAAUUAAGUUCCCAGAAAUUGGACAUCACAAUGAUAACUAACUUUAAUUGAGAAUUUACUAGAAGCCAGACCAUGUUAGUGCUCGGUGUGACCCAUUUCACUCAACCCUCAAGCCAACACUAGAAAGUAUUGUUCUUAUUUUACGAGUGAGGAAAAUGAAGCUCAGGGAGGUUCAGAAACUUGCCCAAGGACAAAUGGCCUGAGAUGGAGCUGGAAUGGGAAUCUGAAUCUGUUUCAUUUCAGAGCUGUCCUAAACUGCUUCCAAUGUCUGCGAAUAAAACUAGGAAAUGUCAACACACAAUGGAUGAGAAAGCUACAGCCAAGACUUGGGAACACUUGAGCCCAUUAAAGGGAAUUUAAUUGAUUGGUACCAGCAUACUAUGAUUCAGACUGGUGAGGUGAUACUUAAAUAUACCAGGGUCCCUUUUAAGGAGACAAUUUAAAUUUUGUCCUUCUGUAGUAUAUAAUCAAAAUGUAAUCAUAAGUUUAUUUUAGAUUAACAUAUAAUUAAAGGUAGCAUUAUACAGUUUUUAUAAAUAUUUAAUAACGCUCAUAAAGUAUACAUACUUUUUUACAUUUCCUCAUUUAAAUAG